rnacentral:rRNA from 1 species
AUUGAACGCUGGCGGCAUGCCUUACACAUGCAAGUCGAACGGUAACAGGUCUUCGGAUGCUGACGAGUGGCGAACGGGUGAGUAAUACAUCGGAACGUGCCUAGUAGUGGGGGAUAACUACUCGAAAGAGUGGCUAAUACCGCAUGAGAUCUACGGAUGAAAGCAGGGGAUCGCAAGACCUUGUGCUACUAGAGCGGCCGAUGGCGGAUUAGGUAGGUGGUGGGAUAAAAGCUUACCAAGCCGACGAAGUGAAGCUGGUCUGAGAGGACGAUCAGCCACACUGGGACUGAGACACGGCCCAGACUCCUACGGGAGGCAGCAGUGGGGAAUUUUGGAGAAUGGGCGAAAGCCUGAUCCAGCAAUGCCGCGUGCAGGAUGAAGGCCUUCGGGUUGUAAACUGCUUUUGUACGGAACGAAAAGCCCCGGGUUAAUACCCUGGGGUCAUGACGGUACCGUAAGAAUAAGCACCGGCUAACUACGUGCCAGCCGCCGCGGUAAUAC